CAGCAGCCGCGGUAAGACAGAGGGUGCAAGCGUUACUCGGAAUUACUGGGCGUAAAGCGUGCGUAGGUGGUGGUUUAAGUCCGUUGUGAAAGCCCUGGGCUCAACCUGGGAAUUGCAGUGGAUACUGGGUCACUAGAGUGUGGUAGAGGAUAGUGGAAUUUCCGGUGUAGCAGUGAAAUGCGUAGAGAUCGGAAGGAACAUCUGUGGCGAAGGCGACUAUCUGGGCCAACACUGACACUGAGGCACGAAAGCGUGGGGAGCAAACAGGAUUAGAGACCCCCGUAGUCCCUGUCUCUUAUAC
rnacentral:rRNA from 1 species